AUUUGUCUUGCCUUAUUUGCUUUUUAAAAAUUUCUACCUUAGUUUUUUCCUGGUUUACUUUGAGUGUUUUUUUGUAGUCGGAGGAGAUUGUUGGUGCGGCUGGGUGUAGGUAUGAGGCAGAGGAGGAAGAGUAAUUUAUUCCAUCUACUGAGCCUUUCAUUUACUUUCUGUUUUAGCAGUAGAGUGGGAUGUCGGAAGCUUUUGUUGGGUGAGAGUCAAUCUGUCAGGGUAAAUCUUAAAAAGCUGGAUUUGUGGUUUAGUUACUAGUUACUGUGUCUCCAGUGGAGACAAAGAUUAGUUUUUAAGAUUUAGCCUUAAUGGAUGAUUCACAAAUUGCAAUGCAGAGUAUUGAAGUUAAGUCCAAGGUCAAGCACACAAGUGGGUAAAACUGAACAUAUGAAAUGGGUGUGUGGCUGGCACCCACCUCUGACCUUUACUGAAAUAAAUGAGGAAGACGGUGCUGUAAGUGGAAUGCCACGGACCAGGAGUUAAGACCAGAGUCCUCUGCUAGGCCCUGCAUCUGAAGUCUGCAGAGCAUGGCUUUUCAUUGGCUCAGUGAGGAGUUGAGUCCUGGUUCAGAAAAAGUUACCGAGGUCUGUAAAAGUCAGUAGGAUACCGGAACAAGAAAGAGUGGGAGAGUGUACAGUUCCCAGCGAACAUUGCCAGUGGAGGCUAAUUUUCACCAGUGAAGGGCGAUUUUGAUAGAAAAGCACAGUGUCUCAACUACUUGUGGUUUUUGAUUCUGAAAGAGGAGGCUUUGGCAGGAGCAAUAAUACACGUGGCCUACCACCUGUUUGGCUUUUUCCCCACAGGUUGCAAGCUGCAGGGAGGGCCUUGCUAAUUCUAGUACCUCCAUCCCCGAAUCGUCUAAAUGUAUUUUACCCAGGACCUGUCAUGGUUUAUCUGAGUGACCAGUUUCCUUUCCUCUCUUGCUUAUUUAUCAUGUUCAUAUUUAUAUUUUUCAUAAUGGGGCCUAUUUAUAUAUUUUGAAGUAGUUCUAGUGAUUUUAAGAUCCAGCAAAACUUCAAGGUCAUCUGGAUUUUGGUGUUCUAUUUAAGUUUUCUAACUUGAUACAGUCUUUUUUUUUUUUUUUGUAUUUUGUAUGUUUUUCUACAAAAUGUGAGAGAGUUAAGCAUGUAUAAUUACAUAUGACUGCUGUUUUCACUUUGAAAUUUUAAAUCCUGCUUGGGAGAAUGGAAUAAGCUAUUGUGUUUUUUGCAGGCAGCUAUGGGAUAUCCCAAUUUGUCCCUCCCUCCUCCUUAAUUUUGAAGCCUGAGAGAGGAAGUAAUAAUUUUCUUUUUUUUUUUUUUUUUUGGUAGGGAUGGGGUUUGACUAUGCUGUGCAGGUUGGUCUGCAACUCCUAAGCUCAAGUGAUCCGCCCUCCUCCGCCUCCCAAAGUGCUGGGAUUACAGGCCUGAGCCACCGUGCCUGGUCUGAAGAAGUAAUAAUUUUAAGAUUCAGUGUUGAGUGAAAUAAAUGUAUUCUUAAAAAUUUCUAAGAGUGUUUAACUCUCUGACCUAAUAUUUAAUAUUUUCCCCAAUCAUUAGGAAGUGCUUUUUUGUUGUUGUUGUUGUUUUUUUUCCAGGCAGGGUCUCGCUCUGUCACCCAGGCUGGAGUGCAGUGGCAUGGUCACGGCUCACUGCAGCCUUGACUUCCCGGGCUCAAGUGAUUCUCCCACCUCAGCCUCCCAAGGAGCUGGAACUGCUCAGCUAAUUUUAUUUUUGUAGAGACAGGGUCUGGCUAUGUUCCCCAGGCUGGUCUCAAACUCCUGGGCUCAAGCAGUCCUCCACCACUCCUGGCCAAGAAGUGCCUUUUUUUUUUUUUUUUUUUUUAAAGUAGCUGCUGAACACAGGAGAAUCUGCCUUUUUCUUGAAUCGUGGUUUUUUUGUUUUUUUUUUUUUCAAGACGGAGUGUUGCUGUUGUCGCCCGGGCUGGAGUGCUGUGGUGCGAUCUUGGCUAAUUGCAACCUCCGCCUCCCAGAUUCAAGCGAUUGUCCUGCCUCAGCCUCCCGAGUAGCUGAGAUUACAGGCACGCACCACCGUGCCUGGCUAAUUUUUGUGUUUUUAGUAGAAACAGGAUUUCACCAUGUUGGCCAGGCUGGUCUCAAACUCCUGACCUUGUGAUCCACCUGCCUCGGCCUCCCAAAGUGCUGGGUUUACAGGCGUGAACCACUGCACCCGGCCUGAAUCAUGGUUUUUUGAAACCAUUGGCAUCUGAACCUGUAGCUCUCUCUGGUAGUGUUGUGUGGUUUUAAAUGUCAUGUGAGCUGAGUUACUGACCUCAACCUACUGCCAGAUGAAGGUGUGAUCCUGUGAUACCAAUCUUGAGGGUCCCUUCUAGUUUUAGCAGUCAGUGACUUCUCUUGUUUAUUUUUGUUUGAAAAAGUAAAAGGCUCUCUUUUUGGCUAUAGAGUUGCAUCUUGAAAUUUUUGACAAAUUACAUAGAGCUGAAGAAGGAUACAAGUUUUGAUAUCUUAAAAUCACAGGGUUGAAGCUUGAAAGGACAGUAUUGGCAUUGCAGCUAAGUGGGAGUGUGAGGAAGCGCCUUCUCUAGGGCAGGUAAUUGCAUCUGUUAAUGUGGUCCUUGGGCCCCUGAGUUGCUGCCUUCCAAUCAGAAUUCCCUUAGCAUUAGCCAGUGACGCCUGAAUUAAUCUCAGGUAGGACUUCUAACUUUUUUCCAAAAUUAUUUUUGUGCAGAGGUUUAUCUAGAUUUUUCUUCUAAAUGUCCUCCUCCCCACUUGUUUUAUUAUUACUGUUUUUUUCUCUCUUUAAUUUUUUUUUUUUUUUAAUAGAGACAUGGUCUCACUAUGUUGCCUGGGCUGAUCUCAGACUCCUGGGCUCAAGUGAUCCUCCUGCCUCAGCUUCCCAAAGUGCUGGGAUUAUAGGCGUGAGCCAUUGCGCCUGGCUCUGUUACUGUUUUUCUAACCUGAGUUACUUAGGAUCAUAUUUUCAUUCUUUUUUAAAAAGAUGGGAGUUUUCUGAACUUUUCCUUAACUAAAAAGUGGAAUGCAUCUUAAUAUUUUCCUUUUUUUACUUGUGUUUCUCCCCAGGGAGGGAAAAACAUAUUUAUUGUGACAGAAUUUAGCAUAUUUUAGGCCACAUUAAAAUACUGAUAAAUGUAUUAAUCAGUGAAAAUAGGUUAUAGUGAAAAAUAUAUACCAUUUGAUUAAUAAAAAUGUUAUUGGAAAAAUGCAAGAACUGCUGUAAGAAUUGCUAACAUUGUGUUGGAAAAUAAAUAUACUAAGCUAAGAAACAAUGGGAAACUGUCAUAUGUAGGGCCAACAGCCUUUUUUUUUUUAAACCCUUCCAAUUUAUUAAUAUCUAGUCUAAUAAACCCUGAUUUAUAGGACCUCUGCACCUUUUUUGACUUUUUAUUCAUCCAUUCUUAAUAUUCUACACUAUGACAAAAUCCUUAAAACUCCAUUAUUGAUGAAAUGGGAACAGACUUUUGUUUUUGUAUGUUGGUGUUCUCUGAGUGGUGAAGGCCCAGGGAGAAUGUUUUGUUUGGUGGUCACUUAGCAUUUGAAAACAUCCACUUCCUUGUGACUUAGCUGGGUAUCUUUUAACAUCUGGAAGCCACGUCCCUGAUUGAAAUCUCUGGAGACAACUUACCUUUCACCAACUUGUCUGCCAAAUUGCACCAUGGACCAAGAUUGCAGUGGCUGCAUCAAGUCUAGGCCUGCCCUGAAGUCUGGAUUUGUAAGUCCCCCAUUUCAAAUGGGGCAGAAGGCAGAGGAGCAGAGGAGCCACUGUGCCUUUCGCUGUCCUGGAGCCAGUUGGCCUUCUGGUUUUGGUGAACCCUGCUUUUAUAAGAGGACUCCCUGGCAUCUUCCAGUUUCCCGCUACUUGUUUUAUGUAUUAUUUUAUGUCUGUGUUUGUCCUGGAGUGCUGUAACUCCUUUCACUGUCUGCUGUAAGUUCAACUUCUUCAAUAAAAGAAAUGUUUCAAAUUGGA
rnacentral:lncRNA from 1 species